CGAAGGGGGCUAGCGUUGCUCGGAUUGACUGGGCGUAAAGGGCGCGUAGGCGGUUCGUACAGUCAGACGUGAAAUUCCUGGGCUCAACCUGGGGGCUGCGUUUGAUACGUGCGGACUUGAGUGCGGAAGAGGGUCGUGGAAUUCCCAGUGUAGAGGUGAAAUUCGUAGAUAUUGGGAAGAACACCGGUGGCGAAGGCGGCGACCUGGUCCGAUACUGACGCUGAGGCGCGAAAGCGUGGGGAGCAAACAGG
rnacentral:rRNA from 1 species